GCUUUAUGGCAAAAGUCCCUGUGGAUUAUUUCUGCAUUAAACCAGACAAUCCCACCCUGAUCUUUAACUAUGUGAUGUCCCAAAUGUUCAAAUACAACAGUUAAAACUUUGUCUCAAAAAAAUAUCUAAAUGGCAUUGCAUUCAAAUAGUUGUAUUUGUAAAAACAGACUCAUUUCUUGUGACACACAUAAAAACACAACAGUUUUUUGUGCAAAUUAACCUUUCAAAAAAAACACCCUUCUUCACAGGAAACUAAUUGGCCAAAGAGCUGCUCACAGUAGUCUUGCUGAGGAAAAGAUCGCUCUUUGGACUGGAAAUAUCUAAAAAAAUCACUAAGACAAUGUUAGUGUUUCCUCAGCACAUUAUGGUUUAUUCAUCUUUGCGGGCGUAGCUACGAACGCUGCAUGAGGUUCAUCACAACGGUAUCGAUGCCUUUGCUGCUUGUGCUGUUCCUAUAAAUAAAAACAGGUCAAUUCGAUAUGGAGCUGCAGACGCACUGCUUCUGGAAACCUUUGCAGAAUGGCAUGAAGGUGGCCGGCCCCCUUUGACCUCGCUGACAUUAGCGGUCACGGUUGCUCAUAGCUCGGCUCGUCAGUGCCCUUACUGGAAGACGCUAAUAGAGCACCUCUCUCUUCAUUCCGUCUAACAUCACCUUUCUCCGCUUCCUUUUUUCCCCCUUUCCAGCAACGUGCUCGAUUGUCUCUUUGCUCCUGGUGCCUCGCUCUCUCACACUUUGUGUCUACCCAAUACUGUCUGUCUCCUACGCUCCAGCAUCCCUUCUAUCCCUCGGUUGUAUGCAAGAUGAGGCAAAAGAACGAGAGAAAAAAAGAAAUCCUCUCACAAUUCCCUCAUCUCCUUUCUUUUUUGAAAGCUAGCCUUUGUGGAGCUGCCGGGAGCAGCUCCAGUGUCUCAAACCACAGCCAGGACUCUUUUCAUCGGGAGAGGUUUGAAAUCUAACUGACCCUAUUCAUGCACUGCCAGGCCUUUGCUUGUACUCAUGCUACAUAAUACGUGACAAUGCAGCGGCUUGGGAAUGUGAAUUAUUGAGUGAAGGUGGGGGGGGGCAACAGCCGAAGAGCUCAGAGGGAGUUUGGUGCGAAUUAGGAGGUAAUUUCGAAUGCGGCAUUUUACAAAAUAGCAUUGUCGAAGAUUUUCUUGAGACGGUUUCAUUACUCACAUGAAAGAAAAGGUCUUUCUUCAGGAACUGUACAAUAUGGCAGCCUUUUAAGUUUUUUUUUUUCCCAUUUCAUCUCGGCCACAUUCUUGCUCAGUUGUCAUGCUGUGGUCUUUCUCCCAGAGAUCCGCUGUCAGUCAAGCAGCGUGUCCAACAGUGGGAUCUCUCUCUCUGCGCUUCCUCUGCUUUUGAGAAAAAGACGUCUUUUCGUAGAUGAUAUUCAUGUCUGCAUUGUUGAGCCGUGGCGGCUGCGACAGCCCCCCCGUCACUCACGCGGCUGAUUGUCUCUGGCGGUGCAAACUAAUAUUGGAAUGCUUUUCUGUUUAAUAUGAAAGAAGCAUCCCGAGCGCUCGCUGAUCUCGGGGGAAGAAAAGCAGCCGUUCUUUUCUCGUCCGGUUUCACGGCAGAGUGAUCCGCGCUGGCAGAUAGACCUGUGCAAAGCCGGCGGUGAUCACACUGAAUGGGCACAACCGGUCAGAAAUAACAAGCUGCAUAGGUUGUGCCUAUUGCCGCCAUCACGGCGACAAAUAUUGUGAUAUAGUCUUCAUCUAGGAUGUAUAUGAUGGUGUAUCUUUCUGAUCCAAAUGCAGAUGUGGGUUUAAGCUUCUGGUCGUGAGUUUUAUGCAGCAUUCUCAUCAGCAAUCUGGUUCAUGUUUUUUUUUUGGGCUUCUCCAGAAGUGUGGAGCCGGGUUGGAUGGGGAAACGGGAAAACGGACGUGUAAGCAGUAUUUGAGUAUAUAAAUAGCAUUAACCUUUAAUCUACUCGGGUACAAUCGGGAUUGGUGCAAAGGUAUGAUUUUCCUAAAAGGCACUUAGGCCCGACGCGCAGUGAGCAGAGCCGGUCGUUUUGUUUCUCUGCAGACUUUAGAUGAUUCAGGGAUUCGGGGCCUGAGUGCUUCGGACAGUAUGUAAAAGGCUUUUCUGAUCUUAUGGUUGAUGUGAUUGCUGUUGGGGAAGAUUGAUCAGUCACAGAGAAAAACAAACACUCGACAUGAAAAUAUGGCCGAUUAUAGAGCCAGAAGUCAGAGAAUUGGAAUGAGAACAAAAAAAGUUCCUUUGAUUUGUGUGGCAAUAAAAGCUACUUGAACUCCUGAUCACAGCAGCAGCAGCAUCGAAUGUGACUAUACAAUCAUUUCCAAAUAUCAUUCUGUGUAAUGAAUGAGGCUACAACUCAGCAAAAACUUUCUCCUGAAUGAAACUAAAAGACAACGUGGCAUUUCAAAUCUCACUGAAAAUAUCCCUGUAGGCAUGGAGUCUUCAAUAAAUCCUCUUUUAUUAGAGAUAACUUGUUUACUUAUGCACCACCUAGGGGCAAACAAGGAUGGCUUGAUACAGAAUCAAUAGUACUUUCAUUCAUGUUCAUUUCUGCUAACAGACUUAUUCCGUAAUGGAACUUCUCAGACUGAAAGAAAUACUCACAUAAAAAAAUGCCAACGGGACAGAAAAGCCAAUCCUGGUACCAUGACAAACGUGGGAAAAGUGUGUUUGUAAUUGGUGAUUAAAGAGACGCAGAUUCUUUGGUGUUCUUUAGUUUGGGGUUUGAACCGUUGACUUGACAAAAUAAGACGUCUGAAGAAACACCCGUCAUUCAUUAUUCAAAAGCAAUGACUCAGCAAUGAAAAAAAAGCAGUAAGCUGCUGACCUGCUGUUUUUUCCAAGUACUCUGUAUUACAAAAACUGCUUCCAUUUGGUCAAAUAGAAACGCCGUCCCUCUGAAGACGCAUGACCAGUGGAAUCGCACGAAUCGCCGCUGCAGAAAUCCGACCUGCGAUGUUUUGGUCCCCCGACUGCUCGCUCACACCGCGAGGCCACUCGGAGCAGAACGUUGUGUCAAUACAGACGGGCCUAUUGGUCUGUGUGUUUAGACGCCUCAAUGGGACGACACCGGGGCUUUGGCGGCUCAUAAUGGGAACACCAGUGUGUGAAAUAUGUUAUGCAAAGGAAGCAGGCGGGUGAUGCAGCGAAGGGCCACCGUUUGGCAGUAAGUCCGGAGAGUCAGCAGUAAAGAGAGGACUAAAGUCAACACGCCGCAAGAAGCGCCGGCCCGAGACCUCUGCUCAUCCCUCAGGGCAGAACUUCAAUAAAAAAUACCACGGUAAUAAGUCCUCCAUCCUCAAAAUGAAUUACCUUCAGGUUUCCUCUAUUUCAUCAAGGAGUUAUGGGGAAUAAACUUGGAUAACAGUUUUAGCUGAUUGAAUUGAUUUAUAAUAUGAAUUCUAGAUAUUUUUAUGUACUAGAAACAGCUUAGCUUGAGAGCAAUUCCUCCAGGAGAAGCAUCAUUCAAUUAUUUCAUGUGGAUUUGAUUGAAUAAUGGUCUCCAAAUAAUUUCAGAUAAAAGAUAAUAUGCAAUUUUAUCAUUCGUAUUUUGAUGUUAAAACAUUACUUUGUCUCUCUUUAUCAUCGUUUUCCUCUUCUCUUGUCCUGUACUGUGAUAACACAAGAAGUAGAAUGUGGGGAUAAAUGCAUGUAUAAAGAUCAGGAUUUACUAUAUAGGACUCACAAUAUAGUUUCAUGUUGGAAAGAAAUCGAGCAAAUCUAAGAAAAGCUAAAGAAUAUCAGCAGAUCCUACGUAGUGUAUUCAAAAAGUAAACAACGUCAUGUUGAGUGAAAGUUCUGUGGUGGGAAUUAUUAUUCUGAGAGCCCAUUCAUUAACUAGCUGCCGUUUAUCUUCCAUUCUCACCGGAGAAUGUCAAAAGAAGUCAUCGCUUCCGACAGUUGAAAUAUCAACACCGAGUCAAGGUGGAAGUCGCAAAUUAUGAAUAAAACAUGUCGUGUUUGACAAUUCCAUCACAGCUAAUAAAACCGUAGGCGUGCUGGGCUUUUGCCAAUCAUCCCACUGACGGCAUUAAUUGAAAUGGCAACAUAAUUAAAAAUCCAAUUAAUCAUGCAGCCCUAACGGACAGAAACAUGUAGAAACUGCGAAAUUGACCUUCAAAAUAGAAUUUCUUCUUUGCUUAUACGUAAAAAAAAAACAAUAUUUAUAUAUUUUUGGCCUUUCAAAUUAAUUGGGGGGAUACAUUCUUUGUGCCCUGGGACACAUGCAGACAAUAAUUUGUGCUUGGAUGGUUUGUGAAAGACCAGACAAUUUAAUUAUGAACAGUCAUUUAGGAAUUAGGCCAUUACUGUCAGUUACUGUAUGUGAUUGGAUUCAAGUGCCUGCAAAAGAGCAAAAGCAUCACCAUUGGCAGCAAUUUCAGCAAAUUCUAAAAAUAGGAAUACGAAUAAAAAGCACAUUUUGCUAAAAAAAAAAGUGCUUUUGGUAUAUUAAGUGUUGCUCUUUGAAUGUGAAAACCAUCCCUCUUUUCCACUUCCAUGAUUGAUUUUAUUACUUUAAAAUAUUCACAAACGCACAGCGUUAAAUUGCUUUAGUUGGAAGAUUCCCAAAGAGCCGUUUCAAACACACAUAUUUACAAGACCUCGUCAUUGACUCUGGCUGACGUGCACGAACAAAGCUCUCAUCCAUAUUUAACACCUGGCGCUUUUCCAUAAUCUGAGGAUAAAUUGGGCCGCCUCGAUAACUCCUACAUUCAUCACGGCAGAUUAAAACAGACGCCUUUUUAAGUAAUUGCUCAACAUAGUCUCAUUUUUCAUCAUCAAAUCAAGUUUCAGAGAGCUGCACCCAUCUCGUGCUGACCUCGAUGCCUUUCCAACACAGAAAGAUUAGCUUCCCCCCACCAGGAGGAACCCAGAUAUCGCGUCGAUCCGUUCCAUCGAUCACUGGACGUGUGGGAAUGAAUUGAAUCCCAUCCCUCCCCCCACGCGCACAUGGACCUCUGAGCCCCUGAUCCGGUUUCCGGGACCAUUCCUGACUCCCGGGCCACCGACAUACAAACCAUUUGAGCUCAGCACACACACAAAAAAAAAAUCAUCCGGACACAUUCAGCCACAAUGGAGUCACGCUCGGAUUGGCUCUGUGAGCACUGUCACGGCCUUUUGAGCACGAAGAGGGCUUUUGGGUGGCGAAGGCUGUGAAAUAACAGAGAGGGGGAGUGUGUGCGGGGUGAGGGAGGGAGGGCGCUCUGCUCAGUGUUGACUGUCUAAAACGGACCGGGGCGCUGGACGCGAUAAGCCGGCUGCGAUAAACAGUAACGCCAAUCAAAACUACGGCGACGGCGAACAAUAUUUGCCAUCCCCUCCACGGACGUUGACCCCGGAUUCCUGGGGCCUCCAUGAUGGAAGACGGAGACAACAGCCGAACCUGAAGGCUAAAUCGUUGUUGCAUGUCUGCUGAACUCGAGGAUCAUCCCUUUCAUGUCGGAAAAAGCAGACCGUCCCCCCUUCGCCUCUCCAGCACAGACACUUCAGAAAAGCAAACAAUCGGGUCCAGGAAUAGCAGCGGUAUUGUUGCGUCCCCACGUUUCUCAUAAGGGCCCUCCACUCCUCCUGCCCUCCUGCCGGAGAUUCAAUCCGAACCUGAAUGAGGUCCAAACAAAGAGGAGCUGUCAGUGGUCUGCUAGACGUGGUGGAUUAAGCUGAGAAAUGAAGACCUGUCGCAGACUUCAGCCAAAUGGACUCCCUGUAUCUAAGCAGCAGUGGCAAGGAGCCACACGUCUUUCACGGGCGGCCUUUUAAUGAGCUCUAAUUAAAUUUCCGCGGGCUCAGCAUUUGUUCACGGAUAAGCGUCGGAUCGCUGGCCGCCUACGAGGAGACUCAGAAGUAAAAGGAGAGAUAAAAUCCCAAAACGAUAACCUUCUCUUGCUUGAAACCACUGGUGUCCUUGAAAACAUUUGGCCAUUCCAUCAGAAUAUGAGACAAAUAGUCUGGUUUGAAACGUGCAAUGAUCACACAUGUCUUCACGUGGUUGUGUGACUAAUGUUAAGCACUUGCCUUGUCAUUCAAAGGUGGCAUGAGAGGGGAUCAUCAAAUUCAUUCACACGCUGAACGUCAGAAAUAUCAACCAAAGUCUCACUUGCAACAUUCUGGAAAAGACUGAACUUAACAAUAAAUUCUAGAAAACCAAACAAAAACAUGAACUAGACCUAAUCAGAUAUGUAGAAACAGUUGUUUGAUUCCUCCAUGUAAUGAGAUGUCAGCAUGGAGUGUCAAAGUGAUGGAACUGGGGGGGGAGCAGGGAUGAGUCCUAAAUGCUCUGUCAAUUAUCUAGUUUUAGUUCUUGAAUGAAGACGUGAAACUGGAAACCAGUGGGUUUAGGCGUGUGUGACGUUUCCACGAAAGUAACGUGGCACCCUGGGAAGCAUCAAGUUGUCCAUCCAGCAGGCGACUCACAUGAUACGGGGGAAAACAAAAAGCCAGCUGUAACGUAUUUUCCUGCUAAUCCUCCGUCGUGCUCGCACUCUUCCUCCCGUCGUGUGCUUUCAUCUGCCUUUUACAGGAAACUUUCUGUCAUUUCCCCGAUUUAUCAUCUCGUGUCACAUUGCUGCGCGCGAAAAAAACACCUUCCACCAAGUGUGAUUCCUUCCACCUGGCUGUGCUUCAUUCAUGGGUGCUUCUUUCUGCACCAUUAAGCAGCAGAGGUCCCUCCGGGUGGCGCGCGGUACACUUACAAAGGAGGUGAUCAGGGACGUCUGAAAAACAUACAUCUCACGUCAUCGCAUUUCACGUGGCCUCGGUAGAGUGAACGGCGCUAUGAAAUACAUGUGCAUCACGACCGAAAUGGUUUCGUUGAAUUGAGACUAACACACAGGCAGAGUUCUGCUGUUCUGCACGGCGGCGGGACACAAACCAACACGGUGAUGAAGACGUAACAGCGUUAAAAGGCCGUGUGCCGUGAGCAGGGAGCAGGGAAAUGCUAACGACAGCACGCUAGUCAGGAUAUAUGAAAAUAAAAAUAGCAAUGACCACUUGCUUUCAGUCACGCGUGAUCAUUUGUGUCCCUGGAAUAUGUCCCCCUGAAGUAAUAUGCUGAUUUAAUGCGACAUUAGUGGUAAGAGCAAUAAAAAAAGGGGACACAUACGGAUGGUUGUGUGAUGUUUUCUGGGUCUCUGGCGGAAACAUCCGCGUAUUUUAACGCGGGUUCAUAGUCGAUACGGCACAGCUUAAGUGAAAAGCCUGCAUGACAUCUUUGUGAAAUGGAGUUUGACUUCAUCCUUCUACCCGUCGCUCUCUCCACGCAGCUGCAAUCCGAAACUACUUACCCACACAAAACGUUCUCUUGGUCCAGCCACCGAGGUAAAUCAGCCAAUGAGAUUAUUUCUGCUUGAGCGGCUGAGAAAUGCUCCUAAUUCGGAAUCCCACCAAAUGAGCGUUUGGCUCGGAUGAUGUGGGUAUAACCGCUGCCUUUCCCUAUGAAUCUCCCGCUAAGUGGUCGCAUAACUUCAUAUCUCCGUAAAGGUUUUGUCUUUAAACUUGUUUUACUUCCCUCAGUCGAUGGAGGAGGGAGAGAGGGGGAGAGAGCAGGCAUACAAAAGAGAGAGACACAAAGAGAAAAAGACGCCCGCACGGCCGAAGAUCUGUCUCAUGACUGAAACAUUCUGGGGGAUAAAAUGUGCCCACGCUGCCGGGAUUCUUUCCCCAGUAAAACGUGCAGCUUCAGCAGCGUCAGAGGCGCGUAUCAAUGGAGUGUUGUGUUACUGUGUUGUGAUCAUAUUGCGCUGCCUCGCGGUCAACAGACAAACCACGUUGCCCCUUACAGACAUCCAACUAUCACAGCGUGAACCCAAAAUGGGACGUGCUGGUGUUCGUGAAGACAUCUUACAUCAAAGUCGCAGAUAUCGAGAUGGGUGACGGAUUGAAACUCGAGAGUCGUAUUAGACUUUUGUUGGUUUUGGUCGUAUCGCAACAAUCAAACGCCACAUGGAACCUGAGGACUUUCACCCAGGAGACACUUGUUCCUGUCCUGCAUGACACCACAAAUAACAUCAGCAAAUAACAUUUCAACCCUUUUACUUCUCCUCACCAACUACUUUCGUUCCCUAGCAGAAAAUAUUGUUAUUAUAAGACCUUUACUUCAUCUCCCAUUCACUUCAAAUGAUGAAGUACAAAUGACUGAUUAAGCGCCCGGUCGCUGAAGCCAAUAAGCAUCUCAUGAACGAUGGCGGGAUGGAAAAGCUGUAUGUUUAUGAAUGUGAUCAGCCGAGCACUGAGUGAUGAAGUACUUCUGCCGCACUUUACAUUUAACAGCAGCACCUUCUUGUUUAGCACCACUAAGACAUCCUCAAACUCACUCAACCAUCUCCAGCAGCAAACGCUCAUAUUAACAAUCAACGGGGUCUCAUCGGUUGAAACAACAGAUGCCUUAAAACAUCCCGACUGACACGCGGCCACGACUCUGAGCCGUUGGCCGGGGAAAGUAAGUCGGAGCGUCCACCGCCGGGCGUUGCUGACACUCGCCGAAAAACUGGAAUGCGGUGAAGGUCAGAUUCCGCGCGAGAGGAGCGUUACCCAAGCCGGGCCGGUGGGAGGGCACAGAGGAGGGCUUUCACUCGCUCGCCCUGCUGACUUCAGACGCGCCACUGAAUUCCUGCAGGGUGUUUAUCUGCAGCCAGGUGAUUUCCAGCCCCCCCCCCCCUCAAAGGGAGGCGGGGGAGGGAAAGGAAGAAAGACGAGAGGGUUCGUAGGAAAAAGAGAAGAGCGUCUCUGAACCCAGGUGACCGUUGAGGGGGGCUUCUGGUUGUGAGCUACAGGUUGGGCAGUUAAUAAGUGCCCCUAAUAAUAAGGAAAAAGGGCGGGGGAAGCGAUGAAAGGAAAGGAAAGGAAGCAAGGGGGAGAGAGAGCAGGAGAAGAACGAAGGGUAGGAAGCUUAGGUUUCAUCUUUAUCAAGGGGAUUUCCAGCCGUCUUCUGACUGAGGGAAAAGCAAACUGCUCCAGAAGGAAUAGAAUUACUCAAAUAAAUGAAAAGAAAAGAAUUAGCCGUGUUAUGUGUAUAAAUAUAAAGGCGGUUUACAGGUGAGAGCAUUCUCACCUUUGUAGUGAUCCACAGAGUGGAGAAAGAAGGAAGGAGGGAGGGCAUUUUGGUGCAAUAUUUAUAUAUAUAUUUUGUUGUUUUGUACGAGCCCAUAAACCAGGAUCCCUUUUAACUCAAUCAUGGCCCAUCAACCCCCACCCAACCCCCACCACACACACACACACACACUCACACCCUAUAGCACACAUUUCUUGCCGUGUCCUUCUCACAGAGGAUACAAUGCUAUCUCUGAUGCCUAAUCCACAGCAGCACAGGGAUACUGGAAGGCUCACGACACAAAUUGAACAUUUCGACGCGGCGUGCGAGGCCCGGACUCUCCCAAUCAGGAAUCUAAAUGACGCGUUCUUUGUGCCGGUUGCAGUGCACGUUGGGGAAAUGGAACACGGGAUUGUGGGAGGCAUCUAUUUUAUGUUCUAAGCCCUUCAAUAAAACUCUCACUUCUCACCAGCUCCACCACCGCACGGGCGAUAACAAAAGGCGCUCUCUGUUGGUGGAGGCGACCGAGCCGUCAGCUUGAUGCAUUGAGACAUUAGCAUUUAGAUAACCCCUCUGAAUAUAGGAUGCCAGGGAAGGGAAAAACAGGAAGCAAAUGAAUACUGUGAAUAAUCACGAGUUACAUUUUGAAUUAACAUAGGUUUGUCUUUUAUCCUUCAGAGCAAAUGAGGCCGGCAAACAACGAGCGGAGCAUCCGGUUUUGUUUUCGCGCUCCUGUCGGACAAAAGAACAAGGAAUGUUUUCAUGGCGACUCUGGAUGAAUUAACCAAAGCAUUUUAUACGUUUUUUUUUUUAAUAAAAAGUAAAGAAAUCCUGCUCUGCUAAAGCGAUGUCUCGGAAAACAUUCAUUCUUCCAUAAUUUCCCAACUUACAGAAGAAUUGUUCAUAAUGUUCAUGUCUAACUCUCGAGGACAGUUUUUACCUAAAUGUCCUUAAGGGUUCGGCAAAGAUUGUGUUUUUGGGAUGAAUGUAUUAAAAAAAAAUCUGCUCGUCCUCGAGGCGAAUCUGUGUUGAGUUAAAACCAAUUAAGCCAAACCUACGUGAGGUAACAAUCCGUACGUUAGAAUCACACACACACACACACACCAAAAGUCCUUAUCACGUCUGGCCAACCAGAAUGUCACAUUAGGAACGCUGAAACGUGCCAGUGAGUGCAAUCCCAACAGUAAUUGCAUUUCACACGAAUCUUAUUUGCUCCAGCCAACAGUAGCGGGAAUGUGUUGUGCUGGUCACUGUGUUGGUUUUACAGGCACAUUGUUGUUGUAAAUGUAGAAUUUUCAAAUCAUACCGUUACCAUUAUUUUUCACGAGCUUCUGAGUGUUAAAGUGAUCUGUAAAACUGUGGUGACAGGCGGCCGCUAUUCAAGUAAAUGUCUCUGAACGUGUCCUGGUUGGUCCCGUUCCACAUCGUAUCUGUCAGCCUUUACCAAUUCAAAUCGGUCAUUUAAAGUAAUCGACUGUGGAAAAGGCGGGAUUGGAAAAGGUCAUCCUGCGAGAUGACAAUUUUGUCCAGUAGAAAAUUCAUUCAUGAGCGCCAAAGUGUCUGUAGAACUGGUUAAUAUUCAAAACCAAUCGGCCCGGUGAUCUCACGGGCCUCUGAGUUCUGCUCUGAUUCAUCACUUACGAUUCUCUCCUCGUGCUCGUAUAUUAUUUUCACAUCCCGGCAUUUGAUUUCAUUUGAGUUCGCCAAUCAGCGUGCGAUGAGAGCGUCUGGAAUCGCACUGAGAUCAACCUGAGCUUUGUCUCCCAAAAUAUCCUCUUAAAGGGGAAAUACCACUGUGUCUAACGGACACUCAGAGUACACAUACAGCCUUUGUUUUUACGUGACAGGUCCCCGGAGUGACGUUCCAGUAAACCAAAAACAAAUUUUGAUGGAAUUCUUUUGAUCCCACUGUGCGUUUUUCUUCUUUUGAAUCUAAAUGAACAUUUCAUCCGAGUGUCUGAGCGGCGCGGAGUCCUCCAGGCAAUCAGUAUUCCGGUCACCUGCUGUACAACAUAAAGAGCAUGCUAGCAAGCUGUGGACAAAGACACCCCCGACCCACGGCCCACCAAUGCACACGGACCCCCCCACACACACACACACACACACACACAUCAACACGAUCAACCGCACACACGCUUUCAAAAAGCUUCAUUGAAAUAAAUUGCAGCCUCUCUGGCUGCACCUACAGCAGUUUUUUCUUGGCUCCAGCAGCCACGACGGGUGAAAGGAGGAGGAGGUGGUGAUGUGAUGGGGGAGGGGCGCACGGGGGCGAGGGUGGUGGUGGUGGUGGUGGUGGGGGGGUUGGGGAGCUAGCAACAGACGAUUACAGCCGGACAAAAGGUUGGUAGACGUGACAACGCGGCUGCAAGUCAAUCGGCAGGGCGCAAUAUUAUCAUCUUUCCCAGAUUCCAGGUAAUGGAGGGAGGGGGGUUGGGG
ensembl:lncRNA